rnacentral:lncRNA from 1 species
CCGCCACGACAUGUGAAGGAUCUGAGCGAUAUCGCCUUAGCAUGGAAACAUGAAAAACAUCGUGGAUCUGGCUUAGUUCAGAAGGUAACUCCAGCUGGUAAGCAACUGGCCCAAUCCCCUUACAACCUGAUAUGGCCCAAUGAACCUUGGGCUUAGCUUCCCCUUUCGUCCAAACCUUAAUACCUUCUUCCACAGAGAGACCUUAAGGGAAACUAAGUCCCCCACUGCAUACUCUAUCUCACGAUGCUUAAGGUCAACAUACGAUUUCUGCCUAUCUGAGGCCUCCUUCAACUGAUCUCGAAUCAACUUCACCUUAUCCUCGGUAUUUGCUAGUAACUCAGGGC